CGGAAAGAUGCAAAGAGGAAGCAAUGAGCUUCAUCUCCUUGUCUCAACCAAACACCAUUUUUUCUCUUAACUUUUGAUUUGGAAGUCUGAAUUUGAUUCCGCUUUCGUGGGGAAGAGUACUACAAAUCUCAGGGACUCCAGUUACCACAACGGUUGUGUUUAAUCGAGGUGUUGGUAAGGGACAUUGUUUACUUGUUUUGGACUCCAGGUAGGGGAAAUACGGCAGACCUUUACCAAGAUUGGCUUUAUUAAAUUUCGUGAAGCAUUAUAUUAUUAUCGAUCUUGUUGGUUGAUUAAUGUGAUAUGGGUUUCUAAUUGGACAAAUACUGCUCUUGCGUGUUUACUUGUUAUUGGUUAUGGAAUUAUUGGUGAAAUGCUAUUGGUUGAGAAUAUACUAUGGUAUAUGUGAAUGAUAAAUGAAAGUAUUUGUGAAUCA